GACGAACGCUGGCGGCGUGCUUAACACAUGCAAGUCGAACGGAAAGGCCCUGCUUUUGUGGGGUGCUCGAGUGGCGAACGGGUGAGUAACACGUGAGUAACCUGCCCUUGACUUUGGGAUAACUUCAGGAAACUGGGGCUAAUACCGGAUAGGAGCUCCUGCUGCAUGGUGGGGGUUGGAAAGUUUCGGCGGUUGGGGAUGGACUCGCGGCUUAUCAGCUUGUUGGUGGGGUAGUGGCUUACCAAGGCUUUGACGGGUAGCCGGCCUGAGAGGGUGACCGGCCACAUUGGGACUGAGAUACGGCCCAGACUCCUACGGAAGGCAGCAGUGGGGAAUAUUGCGCAAUGGGCGGAAGCCUGAUGCAGCAACGCCGCGUGCGGGAUGACGGCCUUCGGGUUGUAAACCGCUUUCGCCUGUGACGAAGCGUGAGUGACGGUAAUGGGUAAAGAAGCAACGGCUAACUACGUG
rnacentral:rRNA from 1 species